ACCUAUGGCCAUACCACCCUGAACCCACCUGAUCUCAUUUGAUCUCAGAAGUUAAGCAGGGUUGAGCCUGGUUAGGGCUUGGAUGGGAGACUGCCUGAAAACAUCAGGUGCUGUAGGCU
ensembl:rRNA 5S_rRNA 5S ribosomal RNA